UACGAAGGGGGCUAGCGUUGUUCGGAAUUACUGGGCGUAAAGCGCACGUAGGCGGACUAUUAAGUCAGGGGUGAAAUCCCGGGGCUCAACCCCGGAACUGCCUUUGAUACUGGUAGUCUCGAGUCCGGAAGAGGUGAGUGGAAUUCCGAGUGUAGAGGUGAAAUUCGUAGAUAUUCGGAGGAACACCAGUGCGAAGGCGGCUCUCUGGGACGGUACUGACGCUGAGACGCGAAAGCGUGGGGGAGCGAACAGG
rnacentral:rRNA from 1 species